rnacentral:rRNA from 1 species
GCAAGAUCCCGAAGCUACGGCGAGUGAAGCGGGAAGAGCUCAAAUUUGUAAUCUGGCACUUUCAGUGUCCGAGUUGUAAUCUCGAGAAGUGUUUUCCGCGCCGGACCGCAUACAAGUCUGUUGGAAUACAGCGUCAUAGUGGUGAGAACCCCGUAACUGAUGCGGAUGCCCGGUGCUUUGUGAUACACUUUCGAAGAGUCGAGUUGUUUGGGAAUGCAGCUCAAAUUGGGUGGUAAAUUCCAUCUAAAGCUAAAUAUUGGCGAGAGACCGAUAGCGAACAAGUACCGUGAGGGAAAGAUGAAAAGCACUUUGGAAAGAGAGUUAACAGUACGUGAAAUUGUUGGAAGGGAAACGAUUGAAGUCAGACUUGUUAUCUGGAGUUCAGCCUUUCGGUGUACUCUCCAGUUUACAGGCCAGCAUCAGUUUUCGGGGCGGGAAAAUCGUAAUUAGAAGGUAGCAGCCUAGCUGUGUUAUAGCUUUUUACUGGAUUCCGCUUUGGGGACUGAGGAACGCAGUGUGCUUUUAGCAAUACCCUCGGGUAUUUCACACUUAGGAUGCUGGUGGAAUGGCUUUAAACGACCCGUCUUGAAAAAACAAACCAAA